AAGCGAAUUUUGGCCUGUUUUUGGUAAAUUACCUACAUAAAAAUCAUUUCUGUUGCUUAUUUUAGUGAAAACAGUACCUCAUGCCAAAAAUUUCCUCGAAAAAAUCUAAAACGACCUGUAUUUAUUGAUUUUAGAACUAUAACCACUAUAUGAACAUGCCUGUUUUGUGUACCUAUAAUGGCACUAUGGUAAAAAACACUUAAAAAUGCAUAAAUAUGGUCAAAAGGCAAAUAAUUUUAGUAAAACAAUAACAUUACAUAACAGUUAUGUUGAAAAACUAAUAACUGCGUGGUAAUGUGGUCGUUUAGAACGUUAACAGAAAAAUGAGUUUCGUUAUGAAAUCCUAAGGAUUUUGGAAAAAAUGUUGACCCAUUUCACAAAAUAAUGGAUUUUUCGAUCACUAAGUAACGGAAUGGCCUCAUUUAAAUUUUAAACCCUUUGUAAAAGGCUAAAGAACAUUUAACACUAACUUAAAUAACUUAAUUACUUUUAAUUUGCCCUAUGAACCGCAUUUUAGAGCAAUAGCACCACUAGAGCUGCACAAGAAACUGGUUACCCAAUUGACUAUCGCUGCAAACAUUCGCCGUACGUAUGAACAGCUGUCAGAUUUAUGCGCACGGUUAAGCCGCCCACCGGUUAAUCCGUCCCCGGAUAAUCGACGUUCUACUGUAUUUGGUACGCCGGUCAAAGAUACCAUCGACAGAUUAAUUCGACAUGGAAACACUAAUUGCCAACACAAGCAACGGAAAAGGUAUUGCACCUGAUCCAGCUGGUUGGAACAUAUCCAUGUCUGUGGAAGGAUUCCGAGCGGCAGUAUAAAAACCACGAAAUACGCCACCAGGCUUGGCGAGAAAUUGGAGCAGCACUAGACGAAAAACCAGAGGACGCCCAGGAAAAAUGGAAAAA